CGUCUCAGCUCAGAUUGCAGGCUGCAACUCGCCUGCAUGAAGUCGGAAUUGCUAGUAAUCGCAGAUCAGCAUGCUGCGGUGAAUACGUUCCCGGGCCUUGUACACACCGCCCGUCACACCAUGGGAGUCGGUAACACCCGAAGUCGGUAGCCUAACCGUAAGGAGGGCGCCGCCGAAGGUGGGAUUGAUGACUGGGGUGAAGUCGUAACAAGGUAAC
rnacentral:rRNA from 1 species